UACGGGGGGGGGGCAAGCGUUGUUCGGAAUUACUGGGCGUAAAGGGCUCGUAGGCGGCCAACUAAGUCGGACGUGAAAUCCCCCAGGCUCAACCUGGGAACUGCGUCUGAUACUGGAUGGCUUGAAUCCGGGGAGAGGGAUGCAGAAUUCCAGGUGUAGCGGUGAAAUGCGUAGAUAUCUGGAGGAACACCGGUGGCGAAGGCGGCAUCCUGGACCGGUAUUGACGCUGAGGCGCGAAAGCCAGGGGGAGCAAACGGG
rnacentral:rRNA from 1 species